rnacentral:rRNA from 1 species
AUCGAUGAAGAACGCAGCGAAAUGCGAUAAGUAAUGUGAAUUGCAGAAUUUAGUGAAUCAUCGAAUCUUUGAACGCACAUUGCACCUCUCGGUAAUCCUUGAGGUAUACCUGUUCGAGCGCCGUUUGUGUCUAAGGCUUUGCCUUGCGUUGAAGUUUCCCGCCAGGGAUUCUUCCAAACACAUCGGCGCCCUCUUUGGCUUCGAAACGCAGAGAAAUGCGGCGAAAGGUCGAAGAGGGUGGCCCAUCUCCGAAAGCAUGGCCUCGGAUCAGGUAGGGAUACCCGCUGAACUUAAGCAUAUCAAUAAGCGGAGGAAAAGAAACCAACAGGGAUUGCCCUAGUAACGGCGAGUGAAGCGGCAUCAGCUCAAAUUUGAAAUCUGGCCUUGGCCCGAGUUGUAAUUUGUAGAGGAUAGUUCGGUGAUGCCUCGACCCAAGUCUCCUGGAACGGAGUGCCUUGGAGGGUGAGAGCCCCGUAUACGGUCGGUCGGCAGAGCCAUGUGAACUUCCUUCGAAGAGUCGAGUUGUUUGGGAAUGCAGCUCAAAAUUGGUGGUAAAUUCCAUCUAAAGCUAAAUAUUGGCCAGAGACCGAUAGCGCACAAGUAGAGUGAUCGAAAGAUGAAAAGCACUUUGGAAAGAGAGUGAAACAGUACGUGAAAUUGUUGAAAGGGAAGCGCUUGCAAUCAGACUUGCAUUUAGGAGUUCCGCCGGUCAUUGACCGGUUCACUCUUCUAUAUUCAGGCCAGCAUCGAUUCAGUCGGUUGGAUAAAGGUUUUGGGAAUGUGACUUCUUUCGGGAAGUGUUAUAGCCCUUUACACAAUACAGCCAGAUCGGAUCGAGGACCGCGUUCGCUAGGAUGCUGGCGUAAUGGUUGUAAGCGGCCCGUCUUGAAACACGG